CCAAAAAAAAAAAAAAAAAAAAACAGGGAGAGAAAGAGAGGAAAUUAAUGGAGGCUGCAAGAGCUUCUUGCGUUCUACUUAUACUAUUCAUUCUGCGACUCCAUGCAGAAAGCUAUGCAAACUAUAAUAGCAAAGAUACACAUAUAAACACACAACCCAUGGAAAUAGUAGUGAAGCAAGCUGCAUACAGACGAGGUCAUGAAGUAACUGCUCGGGCACCUAAUAAAGCCAGCAUGGAAAUGCGAAAUCUUGUGAUGGAUGAAGUGGAGCCACCGAACAAUGAGAAGAAGUCGAAAACUUCGAGUUUAACGUCUGAUUACGCCGGACCCACUCAUCAUCCUCCAAGGCACAACUAAUUACCUAUGCCCUUCAAAAUAAUUGAAUCUCUUGUUUCAUAUAUCAAGCUUAAUUAUUAAUUACACAUGUUUAUAAUGUUAAUAUACAUGUGUUUGUUGUUUCUGUUAUCUCUGUUCUUUCUAUAUCCAUAUCCGAUAGAUACUUAGUGUGAAUAUAUACAUACUGCAUACAAAUAUGGCUAUAGUUUUACACUUCUAAAGAAGCUAUAGGAUCGCCUCUUUGUUUUACUUUCCUCUGUUUCGAAUGUGAAAAAGAGUAUUGUUUAACUGUAUUUACAGAUACAUUUUACCGUUAUAGAUAAAGCUAUUAGAAAUUU